rnacentral:tRNA from 1 species
UGUCCCCGUAGCUCAAUUGGAUAGAGCGUUGGCCUCCGGAGCCAGAGGUUGUGCGUUCGAGUCGCACCGGGGAUAU